UAUUCUUCACGCCUUUCUGUGAAUAAUAUUUUGCAUCACUUUGAACGUUUGUUUCAAAUCCAACAUGGUUGUUUCGCAUAAAUCCAAACGAUUCAAUCCCACCACUAUGGCUCUAUUGGAGGAAGCAAUCUCUGCCGGGUCUAUGAAUAGAUCAUUGCUAGAUAUUCCUUUUUCUAAUCGUAGGAAUAUAAAGUAAAUAAAAAUGGAGAUUAGAUAGUUUGAACGUAACAUACUAACCAGACCAUUUGACCAGUUUGAACGCAACAAUCAGUUCAAACAGCUUCAUACCUGAACCGAAUGAUCUUACGUUAUAAUAUUUCUCGGAAUAAUCCUCUUUAAGUUCUUUGGAGUGCACUGACUCUUAAGGUAGAAACACGUUACUCUCGCGUCGCGUGAAAUCACGUAACAACGGGUUAUUUCACGUGACGUUCGAGAAGUGUGAGCCGGUGUGUUUCCAUCGUUAUAAAUCCGUUGGAAACAAGUCAGCGUCACGCCACGCUGUUUGCGGCAUUUCGCGUAUCGUCGCGUGUAAAAGCAGACAUCAAUUCCGCGACGUCUGGCAGUUUUAAUGUCGCGUGAGCAGCGCGGACAAUGGAGGAAUUAUUAAUAGAAGGUGCGAGGAAACGUACAGUGUUAUUUAACGAAAAAAUCCUGCGCCUCUGUGAAUCAGAAGAUGGGAAGAAGUUGACCGUCAGUUAAAAAUAUCUUCCGAAUACACAGAAAAGAAGCGGAACAAAUGCCGGAGCAGAAAAAGCGACGAAGCUGCUAAGAAAAUUAUACCGCGGGAGCAUUGGCUGCUCAGACAAAUGACGUCUCUUUUGUCAUUUCUGAGUGCCAGAGUAGCGCAUAGUAGCAUAGGAGGAUCUCGCAAAUGUCGGAAAAUGAUAUGAUUCAGUAGGAAAAUAGUGAAAACAAUGAGGUUGAUGGAGACGAAGAUCGGGACAGUAUAGAAAAUGCAGACGGGAGCCAAAUCAGUUCAGUCCAGAUCAGAAAACAAAUUCUACGGAUAACACAGAAGGGAUAGGAGUAUUAGAAAUUACAAAAAGCAAUAAAUGCCAUAAACCUAUGUUGAAAAUUAUGGCGGAAGAAAUAAUAAAUAGUAUUAGUAGUAAUAGAAGAUGUGAAAUAAAGAGAAACUCACAUGUUCUUUUGAAGUAUGUGAAGAAUGACAGGACAGUUGCCACGAUACGAGUAAAGUGAAAUCAAAUUCACAUUGAAUAGCGCAAUACGACAAGCAGAGAUCCGAAAUCAACAGAAACGAGAUUUCUGUCCUGACCAAGCAUCCCAUUCUCGGCUAGAAUCUUCAUAUACGUUAUGGCUGGCUGUAAUAUCAAUAAUUAUUUUAAUGAAAAUAAUUAACGAAAGAAUACCUUGAAUUUUAUUAGAAAUAUACCUUGAACAUACUGCUAAUCUUCCACGAGUGCUUAUAGUUCUACGAAACUUUGUAUUCUCUUUUCUUUAUAUCAUUUUCAAUUAGACCAUGCAAAAAUUCAAAUUCGUCUUUGGUCAUUCUGAAACACAUAUUGUAUCAACUAGAAUGUUCUCCUAAUUCUGUAACUAAAUGGCUAUAUUCUCCCAGACGUUCUCUCUUUGCAUUUGUUUCCUAUAGCCAAAUUGAUCUACGCGUUCUAUUCUGAAUCAGAAAUGCUGUAGGAUUUUGUAUAUCUUUCUCUUAAUCGGAAGAGCUAUCUGCUUGAGGUUUCACAUUCCAUUAUUCACAAGAGACGAUGUGUUAUUAAAUAGUUUCCAACGUGUAAGGUGAUACAAAAAUAAUAAAUGAAUCCUACCUAUGAUGUUACGUGCUAUAGUAUGCAAUGCGGUAACACAUGAUUCCGCGUGUAUGUAAUGUGUCUCUACCUUUGCUGUAGCAAAGUGCAGCUUGUUUAUUACCUGUGCUGCACUUGACCAAAUCCUCUUUUGAUUUAUAACACGGAAAAUUCUAUGUUACACUUGUUAAUAAUCUUAAUGAAUCCUCACAUACAAAUAACAAUGAUCUUCUGUAUUAGACUCGGUUAAUUCCUCGAGCCAUACGUGCAUUAUUAUUUAAAUGAGCAACAAACAAACGUUUGAAAUCCUUUGCCAUACUCACUGUUAUAUAUUUACACUGAAUCUCCCCUACUAAUUCUUCCAAUUAAUUCUACAAAUGCCAUUUCCCUUGUUUCAAUAAAUUCCUGACAUUCUAGACUUUCCUAAAACAGCAAACUUCUAAGCUAACUUCUUUUUGUUAACUUUUACGCAACGUAGAAUCCUACAAAUUCUUACGACCAAGAAUAUUAUGACCAAUCUACGCGAUUACUCCUACCAUCUGUAACAUUUCAUCUCAAGAACAGAACUUUCGCACUAUACUCCUAUUCCUGCAGGAUCAUUUCACAUACAACUUGUCGUUCGAUUACAU